UCCUGGUGUUUUCGAAAUAUUCUGCUUCCCCUUCCCCCUCUCUCACUGACUCGUUCGUCUGCUUUGAGAAGACGCACGUGACACCUCCCCCCCUCUCUCUCUCUCUUUGUUAGUGUAGAAUUGUUGCUUACCUUUCUGACCGGAACCAGAGUAAUCCCAUGAUUCCUGAGUUAACCAGCUUACAUGGUGGAAUAACCUGUCGGUGUCCUGUUGAUGGAAAAAGUUCUGUUAAAUGAAACCCUAAAAUAUGGCUACCUCUCAAGAAAAGGCACAAUGUGUAUUUUGGUUUAUUGAAACAAAAUCGGACCAGCAGAAACUACGGGAUUAAAUAUGGAAGACAUCCACCAUCAACGUCUGUCAAUUCAUGCAUGGCACAAGAAAUUUAUGGAAACAGGAACAAAAUAAAUUAAAUAUACCCAGGAGAUAUUCUUUUGGAUAAACUAACCUGUAGCUCAUUAUUCUGUUGGAAGGGAAUCAUGAGAGACAUACUUGAAGCUUUCGUGAUGGUCUGAACAGGUGUAAAAUUAAGCUUAAUGAAGCUGUUGACCUUGCUAUGAAUGAGGAGAAAUGAACAAUAGAAAUGAAGUCUGAUCAAAAUCAUUUAAUACUUUUUUCUUUCAUCCGUCCGGCAUCUGCAACUCGAAGAGGCCCUAAUUUCAAUAGGAAAUUAAUUUCAGGAAAAUUUGGACUGGUCCGCUGAUGGAUUCUUCUUAAAUUAUAUAAGCUUUUCAUUAAGAGAUGUAAAGAUUUUCUUAAAAAUUUUAAUCUGUGCAUGUUUCAUGUUUAUCCUGUGAACUGCGGUGGUGAGCUCCCGAAAUGGCCAGAGAUAUAUGUGAAUGUUGUAUUUGACCUGUGAAGCCUGCUUAUUAUGAACUUUUGGAUAUACUUGUGUGGACGGAGUACAUAAAAGACUUUUUUCAAGAUGUAUGUGAAUUUGACCGGUGGAAGUCUGUUUACUUGUGAAGUCUAGACGUAUUUGUAUGAGAUAGAACUCAUUUUUGCAAGGUGAGAGGACUGGAUCAACUUGAAAUAAAGUGUCUUACUCAAGAACACAAGGCGACACCGGGAAUCGAACUCGCGACCUUAUGAUCGUGAGCCGAGUACCAUAACCACUAAGCCAUGCGUACUAAACAGCGAUAGAAAACCAUCCUACACCACGUUCAAGUGGAAU
rnacentral:lncRNA from 1 species